GACGAACGCUGGCGGCGUGGUUAACACAUGCAAGUCGAACGGAAAGGCCCUGCUUUUGUGGGGUGCUCGAGUGGCGAACGGGUGAGUAACACGUGAGUAACCUGCCCUUGACUUUGGGAUAACUUCAGGAAACUGGGGCUAAUACCGGAUAGGAGCUCCUGCUGCAUGGUGGGGGUUGGAAAGUUUCGGCGGUUGGGGAUGGACUCGCGGCUUAUCAGCUUGUUGGUGGGGCAGUGGCUUACCAAGGCUUUGACGGGUAGCCGGCCUGAGAGGGUGACCGGCCACAUUGGGACUGAGAUACGGCCCAGACUCCUACGGGAGGCGGCAGUGGGGAAUAUUGCACAAUGGGCGGAAGCCUGAUGCAGCAACGCCGCGUGCGGGAUGACGGCCUUCGGGUUGUAAACCGCUUUCGCCUGUGACGAAGCGUGAGUGACGGUAAUGGGUAAAGAAGCACCGGCUAACUACGUG
rnacentral:rRNA from 1 species